GGUUCUAUGGUGUAGUGGUUAGCACUCUGGACUUUGAAUCCAACAACCUGGGUUUGAAUCCUCGUAGGACCU
rnacentral:tRNA from 1 species